rnacentral:tRNA from 1 species
UCCCUUCUAGCUCAAUUGGUAAAGAAUCUGCUUGCAAUGUAGGAGACCCUGGUUUGAUUCCUGGGUCAGGAA